AAGAGAGGAACAAACAAGCAAGCAAGCCUUCGCCACCGCCUCACAAAAAUCUGCAUUAUGCCAGCGUCACCGGUCAGUUGCCCUCCAACAUUGAAGCCACCUGCUGAGCAGCCAGGCCAACGGGUUUGGCAAGCCGCGGUGCCUCGACAGCCUCUCGAAGCUGGAGCAGAAGCUCGACCACCUCGACCAACGGCCAACGGCCAACCACGAACGCUGGAAUUAAGCGCCAUUUCAGGUGGCAGCGGAGGCGGAACCGCCGGCAGCGCGAAGAGCAGCACCAACGGUGACAGGUUCUGGCGGCGUUCUGAACAAUGGGAUCCCCGCCUGCUGUGCGUGCUCUACCUCGUGGCGCUAAGUGGACUGCUGCUUGUCGUGGGCAGGUACUACCUGGGAGGCCAGCCCGAGGGUCCUCGUCUUGUUUCCGCGACCCUCGAGAGAUCGCCCUCGUCUGGUCCUUCUGCAGCCAACGAUAUCACGUGGUGGACGGCUUUCACGAAACGUAGGAGAGCGGCGUCAACGAUGGACGUAGAGGUGACGGAGGAGUUAAAGGUAUCGGCGCUGUCGCAACUCCCUGCUACCAGCGCCUCAGCCAAGAGAGAUAAAAGUAGCAGGAGUACGGCUCACAUGGUAACAAUUACGAAGAGGGUGGUAUUGCCCUCGAUGUCUCACCCAUUGGAACCAACUAUAGGGUCUCCGGUACAGCCACGGGGUACCGGGGUGGUGAAAAACCGGACCCGCAUGCCCUCGUCAUGGUCAGUCGUCACAUUCUGAGGCGAAAUAAUCGGUGCAGUCUCAAGAUGGAAUAUACCGGCCUUGAGAGUGAACAAACAUCGACAAAAUGCGCCGAAGGCUCACCAUCUGGCUCAAGGCGAUAACUGCACGUGAGCGGCUCUCGAGAUGUCCACGAGUGGACUCCAUAACGUGGGAGAGGAACGAAAUGUAGUCUGCGCUUUCAUCGUUGAGAGUACUGUAGAUAUUGGUAGUAGUUGCUUAAUUCAAUAAAAUAUGUUGCUGGGCUA